ACGUUUGUCGGCAGCUCAGAAUGUUUGUUGACAGAAUGUUUGUUGACAGAAUGUUUGUUGACAGAAAGUUUGUUGACAGAAUGUUUGUUGACAGAAUGUUUGUUGACAGAAUGUUUGUUCGCUGUGGCGUGGCGAUCAGAGGGAAAUCGUUGCAAUUUGUUUUCAAAAGAAGUUUGCACUAAGUGAGAUUGAAAACUAGUGAAAAAGGCUUUAGAUUGAAGGCGGCCCGAUCACCGCUAAAUAGCCCACAAAUAGUUUGGGGUGGGUAGGUGCUUGCCAUUUGUGAGUCAUACUUACCUGGCACUGGAGGUACCUUGAUCACCUUGGAGGUCCUUUCAGGGCGAGGCCUGUCCAUUGCACUAGGGGCGGGUUGACCCCUGCGAUCACCGCAAAUGUAGGUGACUCGAGUGCGUACUCUAUUCGUAAGGGGGACUACGUUCCCGCUAUACCUGUUAAAAAAUACAAAGCAAAACCCCCAAACCCUAAAGCAACUCUUGGAGACUUUCAACCGAGGAUCCUUAGUGGUGUCACGUUCCAUUUCUUAUCAUCGUUUUCACCCAUUAGUUUGAAACCUAUGAUAUUUAUUCUUGGAAUCUUGCCUAACUUAUCGUCUGUGCUGUGCUGGCCUAUUCACAAUUCACUACACGUACCCGCACUCACUUUCUUCGUGCAACACCACAAUCUAACCAGUACACGUAAACAUGUAUAUAGUCGUCUGCCGAGCUGAGCCUAGAGCGGAUCAUCAGCAUUUAUAAUAAAAACGGACUGCAAUAAUAGUUGGAAAAGUUGCCUUGUCCACAGUUUUUAAUACAGCAGGCAGAAGAUGAUUUCAGACAAAAUGGUGAAAGGACCGUUUGCCGUUUGAGGGUGGAAGGAAGACUGUCUGUCGUUCCCUGAGCGAGCCUAAGCAGAAAGAGGAGAAAUCUGGCAAGAUGGUUACACCACUUGGUAGCGACGCCACAUAGCAAGCUUGGUUUAGCGUGGGACGAGUGAGAGGAGAUGGGCAAGCGAAGAGCUGCAGCGUUGUAGUGGCACUCGCUCGCACUCACGCACAUAAUGAGUCUUGUACAGAAGGUUCAAGCAACAACCAGGAAUUGAAAGAGACGGCUGAAGCCUGAAGGGACGGCUGACCGUCCGUUAGGAGUUAGAUAAGUUUAGGUCGGCGGGGGUCUAGUAGCGGGAAGCUACUGCUACACCUUAGUUGUGGUCACAACAGCAUGAAGCUCCACCCCUCCCCCCUAUUUCACCCUUGGGCGUCACUUGCGGGUGCGUCCCCUAGGUCCUAGGACGCCCCAUGUAGGAGAAAGGCUACAGAGAGAAAUAGGCGGUAGGCGCCGCGGGGCGUCCAGCCGUGAGAUGCCUGUUUGUUGUCCCUGCGGCCGGUAGGCAACCGGAUUGUCAGGAUCUCGUAAUACCCUCGUGAAAUGGCCAACCAGCGAGCGAGCCAGUGGCGGUCCACAUUCCUCCUAGUCGGCUAUCUAUAUAAUCAGAUCCGUUCAUCUCAUCUACGGUUUGGGGCGUUUUGGUUACAAUUUGUAGCUACUUUGGUGUUUGAAGCUCUAUUGUUAUAAUAAUGAGUAGGGAGAGCCAUGGAGAAGACUCAAGGAAAAUUGAACGGUUUUGUUAAUGUUACAGGUGCUGGGGCAGUAUGAAUAGCAGUUGUGUGUUUACACAGUCGGUACAUUUCAGUGGGAUUUUCGGUUGGUUCGUCUGACUCGCUUGUUAAAGUUUGAAGAGCUUUUUUAAAUAGGAGAACUCGUUUGGAUGGAGUACUACUAUCAGCAGACUGGGCGAGGUCUGCAGAACAUGAAGGAAGAGGGGGAAGAUGCCCGUGCUGCUGCUGCUUCCGAUGAUGAUGAUGUUGAUGUGAAGGAAGUGGCUGAAAGAAUCAGAGAUGAGGGCUAUGAUGAAGGACAUGUUGAGGACCUGACCAUUGCUUCGGCAGAGGAGGGAUCAUACCUGUCUGUCCACCUGUUCCUAGACCAAAGCCAGCCAUCUCUGCCCCUCCCAGUCUUCCACUUGAGGACCCUCAUUCUUCUUUAUCUCUCCCAGACACAGCACCAUCCACAUUGGAGCAGCAUGCUGGUGUAAGUUAUUUUUUAAAAUGGAUGGAGAUUUGUAGUAGAAAAGUGAAAAUGCCUGCUUCCAGCCUACAUCGCUUGUUGUAUUACCUUUGCAUUGCUUUAACUAUUGUCAUAGGAAUGUUUUGGUCCAGACAGUAUUCAAGGGAAUGACAAGGUACACAAGCUCUUCGUAUACUUUUUCUCCAUAUGCAAUUAGUAAUGCUUCUUUCGAACCAGCUAGUAGUUUUGAUUUUUCUCACUGUGGAAUGACCUGACUGUUUUUGACAAGAGGCUGAGAGCAUUUGCGCCACGACAUCAGGCAUCAUCAAAAGGGCGAUUCAAGGCUGCCAAGAAAAGCUGCUUGACACCUGGGGUUGAGGUUACACAAAGGUAUAAUGCUCGGUCAAAGAAAGGUGAACAGCAAGUUCUGGAAGAUGGUGUCGGGGCUCCACUGCCUUAUCCAACUUCUACAGAGUCUUUGCCUCCAGUUGUUGUGAGAUCACAAGCCCUGACGAUGGGAGAUGCUCCACAGCAUGACUCUGAACUGAAAAAGAACACAGCAGUCACUGCUACAGUAAGGUCUUGAUUGAAGCAAGUGCCUGAUGCCUUGUUGUCUCAAGCGCGUAUGGUCAGGUCUAUCUUCCAAAUGCUCUUGCUAAAGUAGAACCUGUGCAGGAUUCUUCACCUGUGCCCUAUUCCACCUUCUGGUACAGAAAAAAGCACAUGCAGGAGGAUGGAAUGGAGAUGCAGCUUAAAAAGAGAAAGCUGGGCACCACUUGUGACCAGGAAUGACUUUCUGAAACACAAGAGACUUUUAUGGUCAGUGGUGGUGCCAAGCCAAGUCUACACAGACUGCAGAAGAAUGGAUUUCUGACCAGUGAGCAAGGAGACCUCCCAACAAACCUCAUUCUCAUCCACCACCACCACAGUCCGCUAUCCCUUUCUUUGUAUCCUUCAACCCGUCCUCUUCUUUCUAAAUCCCCCAGUUGACCCCAAAAGGAUAAUCCAUCCCAUCCCAGCAACCAUCCGUCAAAAACCUCUCAGAUUUCACGCACACCUGUCGCAGGUCAACUUCAAAAAUGAAGUGUAAAGUUCGCCAACAAUUACAUACACACAACUUAACUGAAUUCUCCACUUGGGGACAGACAUUAUGCACUGAAUGACACUGUCUCUGGGGACGAGCGACCACACUCGUGUAUCAGACGCUGCCUCUUGGGGUCAGACGUUGUCUUCCUGGGCCACAUGCUCCAGGAUACCAAUAAACUAAACAAAUCACAAAACAACACAAAAACUCUUCAUGGCAUCAUGGGUGUUGUGGGGGAGGGAAUCGUGACAUUAAUGAAGCGACGGAGUUACGUGCCCUUCCCACGGGUGAUCACAGUCUCAUCACAAACGUGGUUGUGUACACGAGGAUGAGGAUGGUCUGACGACUGAGGCGUGACGUCUGACUGUAAGUUGUGUACGUCACCUUCAGCCACAUCGUGCAAGUGUCGUCACGUGAGGGUUAGCAUCCCCUAUGCUGACGCAUUUGGGCGUGUGUAACACGUCAUCUACAGUUCUACCAUCACGUGCUGUGACGUAGAUAGAACAAGUCUGUCCUGUUCAAACGCUUUGUAGAGAAUACAACACAUCAGCGCGGAAGAUUCUUGUCAACAUAAUGGCAAUGUUGACAUGUCAACACAGUGCUACUACAGCUGACAACAACAUUAAAACAUGACCGUUAUUAUUGCAAGUGCACAGGUUUGCUUGUGACAAGUUUUUCUUUGUUUUUCUCAGGGAAAGAAUGAAUGGAGGAUGGAUAAAUUUCUUCCAUGAAUGGCUGCUCGCUGCACUAUUUUCGAUUCGUUAAGAAAUAGAAUUGUGUAAUGCUUACAUACUUAUAAAAAUAAUUGCUUUUCACAAAUGAGCCAUUUCACACACAGCUACACUGUCAUUUUAAAGAUUUAUUCACAAAAUUACUUUUGGUAGUGCUUAGUCACGACCACGACUGACUUCGAUGCAUAAAAGAUUCCAUAAACUUCACAAGAAAAAAACUGGUUUCAUUCAUCAACUCACAGCACACGUGCUAUCCCGACAUUCUUGGUGGGUAACGGAUGUCGUCUGCACAAAAUUCCUUCAGAAAUAGUUUGCGCUAUUCCAAAGUUCAAAAACAUGGGACUCAACAGUUCCAGUAUUUUUUCAAUGCAUUUAACUAGAGGUUAAAAAUACUUACAAGAUCUUAUUCAACUUCUGAAUGUAACAGCGAGGUUUGGAUCAGCCACUGAAACAAACAAUUAAAAAAAACAACCCGAAUUAAUAAUGUCUUGCAAAUCACCACACCUCAAAAUACAUCUCCGGUGUUAUUUGUUCUCCACAUAUCUGAGGUAGUCAGGAAAAAAUGCUCAUGGCUAAAUCUGUAAUAUUGUUGGUAAAAUUACCUCUUUAUUGGUUUUUGUGAUCUUUGACAUCUGAAGAGACUUCACGAGGGUCACCAAAGGUGUAAAGUAGGAUUCUGCUCAUGUCAUUGUCCAUUCCUACCCUACACAGCAGUUAUCUCCCUUGUAUUCGACUUUUCCUCUUGUGAGCUCCAUUAUCAUUAUCCUUUGAUAUCUCUCUCACACACACACAGACACAAGAGCAGACAUCAAACACGACCACACACACACAUGCAAGCGUCCACACGUGUAUAAAGGCAUAACAACAGACUGAUGCGUGCACCCACAGACGUCUCCAUGGCACCGUCAGCUCUGGAUGCACAAGACUGGCAUUCUGGUCACGUGAGCUGUGCUACGGAGGCGUAGAAACGAGGCAGGAAAACAAAGUUGUUUGCCAACGGUCUAGUUUCGCAACGACGAUAAAAAAGAAAAUUUGUUGGAGGAGGUGAUGGUGGAGGAAUGGAAGAUAACUGAGACUAUGUACUAGGGUGGUGGCUGCAGUGAUGUAUUGAUGUAGUGAUGCACAAGUAGUUGUUAUACUGUGCAAUACGUGCUGAAUUAAAAUGAAAAUAAAAAGGAAGAAGUGAAUGAAUUGAUA